rnacentral:rRNA from 1 species
UACCAGCUCUCCGAGUGGUGUGGAUGUUUAUUGGGCCUAAAGCAUCCGUAGCUGGCUGGGCAAGUCCCCUGUUAAAUCCACCGAUUUAAUCGUUGGAGUGCGGGGGAUACUGUUCGGCUAGGGGACGGGAGAGGCAGACGGUAUUUUCGGGGUAGGGGUGAAAUCCUAUAAUCCCGGGAAGACCACCAGUGGCGAAGGCUGUCUGCUAGAACGCGCCCGACGGUGAGGGAUGAAAGCUGGGGGAGCGAACCGGAUUAGAUACCCGGGUAGUCCCAGCUGUAAACGAUGCAGGCUAGGUGUUUGGGCGGCCACGUGCCGCUCUAGUGCCACAGGGAAGCCGUUAAGCCUGCCGCCUGGGGAGUACGGCCGCAAGGCUGAAACUUAAAGGAAUUGGCGGGGGAGCACCACAAGGGGUGAAGCUUGCGGUUU